CUCCUACGGGAGGCAGCAGUCGAGAAUUUUUCUCAAUGGGGGCAACCCUGAAGGAGCGACGCCGCGUGGAGGAUGAAGGCUUUCGGGUUGUAAACUCCUGUCAUUUGAGAACAUGUGCCAACAAGUAACUACUGUUGAGUAUCAGAAGAGGAAGGGACGGCUAACUCUGUGCCAGCAGCCGCGGUAAUACAGAGGUCCCAAGCGUUGUUCGGAUUCAUUGGGCGUAAAGGGUGCGUAGGUGGCGUGGUAAGUCGGUUGUGAAAUUUCGGAGCUUAACUCCGAAACUGCAUUCGAUACUGCCGUGCUUGAGGACUGGAGAGGAGACUGGAAUUUACGGUGUAGCAGUGAAAUGCGUAGAGAUCGUAAGGAAGACCAGUGGCGAACGCUGGUCUCUGGACAGUUCCUGACACUGAAGGACGAAGGCUAGGGGAGCAACCGGGAUUAGAUACCACGGUAGUCCUAGCCGUAAACGGUGCACGUUUGGUGGGGGAAGGAUUCGAACCCCUUUCGCGCCCGAGCUAACGCCUUAAACGUGCCGACUGGGGAAGUCCGGUCGCAAGAUUAAAACUCAAAGAAAUUGACGGGGGCCCGCACAAGCGGUGGAGAUGUGGCUUAAUUCGAUGCAACGCGAAGAACCUUACCUGGCCUUGACAUGUAUCUCUAAGCACGUGAAAGCGUGUGAGUGUCUAAAGCCACAAUUUACACAGGUGCUGCAUGGCUGUCGUCAGCUCGUGUCGUGAGAUGUUGGGUUAAGUCCCGCAACGAGCGCAACCCCUGUGAACUGUUGCCACUCUCUUUAUUGAGAAGCACUCUGUUCAGACUGCCCUGUUAAACAGGGAGAAAGGUGUGGACAACGUCAAGUCAGUAUGGCCCUUACGGCCAGGGCUGCACACGUACUACAAUGCCCAGUACAGAACGAUCCGAGACCGCGAGGUGGAGGAAAUCUAGUAAAACUGGGCCCAGUUCGGAUUGGAGGCUGCAACUCGCCUCCAUGAAGCCGGAAUCGCUAGUAA
rnacentral:rRNA from 1 species